UGAGAGUUCCAUCCUGUUUGGCUUUAGGCGUUCUUUAAGUCGAUCCCCAUCUCGAUAUCUCUGCACUUCUCGGACCAACCUAAGUUAGUUCCAGAACUCUCCUCUUCGCUUUUUCUCUUGCUGUUCUUCUUUCAUUUUUCUUCUGUUAUAUUUUGCCUGUUCAAUUUUCUGUGAGCGCCCCUUCUCUUAUUUUUUUCAAUUUUUUCGAGAAUUUUUAGGGUUUUUGCUCGAUUCAUAAUGUCCUCCAACACUUCCUCCUCUAGCAGUUCUAGGAGUUCGUCUG
rnacentral:lncRNA from 1 species